UACGUAGGGUGCGAGCGUUAAUCGGAAUUACUGGGCGUAAAGCGUGCGCAGGCGGCUUUGCAAGACAGAUGUGAAAUCCCCGGGCUCAACCUGGGAACUUCAUUUGUGACUGCAAGGCUAGAGUACGGCAGAGGGGGAUGGAAUUCCGCGUGUAGCAGUGAAAUGCGUAGAUAUGCGGAGGAACACCAAUGGCGAAGGCAAUCCCCUGGGCCUGUACUGACGCUCAUGCACGAAAGCGUGGGGAGCAAACAGG
rnacentral:rRNA from 1 species